CAAAAGUGUAAGAAGAAAUCUAGGUUGCCUCCUAGUAGCGCUUGUUUAACUUCACGAGCCUGACCCAAACCUGUUUAGCACUUGUCAGUAAGUGCAAUUCCAUCCACCACCCAUCAGUAGGUGCGCCUUCCGGAUAUCCUUCAAUGGAUACCGAAAACCUUCUAGCAUCCCUCAAUAGAUGUUAAUCAUUACUGCCAUCAGAAGCAGCGCAUAACCAAAAAUAAAAAAAUAAUAAAUAAAUAAAUAAAUAAAUAAAAUAAAGUAAUAUAAAAUAAAAUAAAAUAAAAUCAAAUCAAAUCAAAUCAAAACGAAAUAAAAGAUAAAAAAAAUUCAGAAACUGGGUUGCCUCCCAGCAAGCGCUCUUUUAACGUCAUUAGCUUGACCCGGUAGAGUUCAAACGGCUAUCAGUAGGUGUUGAUACUCCCUUUUGCUUGCUAUUCUUUUCUUUUUCUUCUUUCUGCUGAAUUUCUUCAGAAAAUUAAGAACUCCAAGCACCUGUUUCCAUGUUUCAAUCAUAGGAACUUUAGUCUCCAAUUUCUUGAAGAUCGCCAACUUGAACUUAUUUCUCUUCCUAUGAUUUUUAUUUUUAUGAGGAAGAUGUUUUUGAUGUGAUCUUUUCUUCUUUCCUCUCUUCCUCUUUUUCUCAACCUUCUCCUUCUUCCACUUUCUUUUUUUCUUUUUUCUUAUUUUUUUCUUUUU
rnacentral:lncRNA from 1 species